UACGGAGGGGGCUAGCGUCGUUCGGAAUCACUGGGCGUAAAGCGCACGUAGGCGGCUUUCUAAGUCAGGGGUGAAAUCCUGGAGCUCAACUCCAGAACUGCCUUUGAUACUGGAGAGCUUGAGUUCGGGAGAGGUGAGUGGAACUGCGAGUGUAGAGGUGAAAUUCGUAGAUAUUCGCAAGAACACCAGUGGCGAAGGCGGCUCACUGGCCCGAUACUGACGCUCAUGUACGAAAGCGUGGGUAGCAAACAGG
rnacentral:rRNA from 1 species